rnacentral:rRNA from 1 species
AUUGAACGCUGGCGGCAUGCCUUACACAUGCAAGUCGAACGGCAGCACGGGUGCUUGCACCUGGUGGCGAGUGGCGAACGGGUGAGUAAUAUAUCGGAACGUACCUUAUUGUGGGGGAUAACGCAGCGAAAGCUGUGCUAAUACCGCAUAAUCCCUAAGGGGGAAAGCGGGGGACCGUAAGGCCUCGCGCAAUUAGAGCGGCCGAUACCUGAUUAGCUAGUUGGUGAGGUAGAGGCUCACCAAGGCAACGAUCAGUAGCUGGUCUGAGAGGACGAUCAGCCACACUGGGACUGAGACACGGCCCAGACUCCUACGGGAGGCAGCAGUGGGGAAUUUUGGACAAUGGGGGCAACCCUGAUCCAGCAAUGCCGCGUGAGUGAAGAAGGCCUUCGGGUUGUAAAGCUCUUUUGUCAGGGAAGAAAUAGCAGCUCUAACACAGUUUGCGAAUGACGGUACCUGAAGAAUAAGCACCGGCUAACUACGUGCCAGCCGCCGCGGUAA